UACGAAGGGGGCUAGCGUUGCUCGGAAUCACUGGGCGUAAAGCGCACGUAGGCGGAUUUCUAAGUCAGGGGUGAAAUCCUGGAGCUCAACUCCAGAACUGCCUUUGAUACUGGGGAUCUCGAGUCCGGGAGAGGUGAGUGGAACUGCGAGUGUAGAGGUGAAAUUCGUAGAUAUUCGCAAGAACACCAGUGGCGAAGGCGGCUCACUGGCCCGGUACUGACGCUGAGGUGCGAAAGCGUGGGGAGCAAACAGG
rnacentral:rRNA from 1 species